CACCCACUUUGCCAAAGCACAGCCCCCACACCACCAAAGGGAUAUCUUCAAUCACCAACUUACCAUCCUGAGACAAUGAAGCUCUGGACAUCAUGAACCACACUGUCUCUUCUAGCCUAGGUGGGGGUACAUGCAGCCUGGUGCCCGUGAGAACAUGGUGUAUCUCACACACACAGAGCGUCGAAAGGACUUCCAGUACGAGGCUUUGCAAGAGCGUCGGGACGCUGAGAGCGUGGCAUCGGUGCCAGCCUGUCUACCAACUUCAAAGACUUUAUCCAGACCAAGGCUGAGGAGAACAACAUUGUCUUCAUGCCGCUGGUUGUCAAACGCCAUGAGGGGAAACAGCUGUACACCUUCGGACGCAUCAUCAUCUACAUCGGGAGAGAAGACCUGGGUCCCUACAGAGUCUCAUCGAUAUGGCCAAGUGAUGGAGUAAGAGAGGAGGGUGCCAUAGCUCCCCUAUGGCACCCUCCUCUCUUACUCCAUCAGAGGUCACUGGAAUUUGUCAUUGGGAACCAUGAAUAAAUUAUUUUUGGACUUUCUAUUUUAGACUUUUUUUAUUUUAGACUCACCGCUGCAAGCCAAGAGUGGGAGUUUAAAUAGUUAACUGAUAAUUCCAGAUAAGCAUUUUUGCUGACUGAAACCCUUGUGUAUACCUACCACUGUGGCAAAAAUUAUAUUUUUUACUGAACAAAAAUAUAAACGCAACAUGUAAA